CGUGUCUUGGUGCGGCCAAUCGGCCUUGACAUGGUAGAGGUCGGCGGUUCGAAUCCGCCUGGUACUACCA
rnacentral:tRNA from 1 species